rnacentral:tRNA from 1 species
GCGAAAGUGGCGGAAUUGGUAGACGCACUGGAUUUAGGUUCCAGCGCCUUGCGGCGUGGGGGUUCGAGUCCCUUCUUUCGCACCA